ACUGUAACAGGAAGUACUUGCCCAAAAGCAUUGGUCUAUUGCUCAAACAAAGGGCCAUUUCCCUCUCUACACUAGUACGUAGUGUACAAAGGUGCAAGCAGACCGGUAAAACGUUUAGGACGAGACCACCAACUAGUUUUCAAGUACAGCAACUCUGGUGCGUGACUGCUUCUCUUUCCCUUUACUUUCAUCUGCUAUUCCGAGAAUACAAUACCACACAACCGGAUGCCGGUUCCAAUUUCAUUGAUAACUUGUGUUUUUAUAAUAUUUUUUCCUUCUAUUCCUGUUAUACGUCAGCGAAUAAAAAAUUAAUAUUUGAUGACAAUAUUAAUCACACCGCCUUAUUCGCCACGCUGAGCCGUUACCACCGGUGUACUUGGUGUAUCAUCUUUUUCUUUACAGAUCUGCGAUCAAUACCACGUGUGCCGGGACUAUCCAAUUAAAUUAAUUCACUUAUUAUUCUGAUACAUAGAUACAUAGAUAGAGAUAUAAAAUAACUGACAAGGAUAAUCUCUACCUGACGUGAUAUUGGUUACCUUUAUUUUUUUUUCCUUUUUAUUUAGGAAUGAAUUUAACGUGAAACCAUCCGCUAAUUAGAGGUUUCGAAAAAUAGAUGAGUUAUGAAAAUAUGAUGGAAGGCAAUAUAACGAUCAGACGGUUUAAUUAGUAUACUGCUUAUAUAAGUUAUGCUUUUUUUGUGUUUUAUGAAAAUUUUUCAAAUACAGCCGAGAGGCUUGCGAAUAACUCGAUUAUUAUUUUACUAUAUUAACUUUUUAUUGUUUUUUUUUGCAAAAUAAAUGAUAGUCACUAUUGAUUAAUAUAAAUUUAGAUAUUAUAAAAAAUAUGUAGAUGGAUAAAUAUAUAGUUAUUUAAAAAACUUAAAAGUCCUUUCAAUCAUAACUGAUUUUUCCAAAUUUAUUGAGCCGAUCAGUUAAAAUCGCACAGUGAAAAAUAUUGUGUUAAAAUGAACAUAAUCUGUGUGUAGUGUUAUAUUUUAACACGGACUAUUUGUAUUGAAUUUCAACUCUAAAUUUGUGCUAAAAGUUCAACACGAAAUUCGGGUAAUACGAGGAGUAAAUUUAAGACUUUUUAAAUGUCAGUGGUGACACAAAAAAGUGUUAACUUUUACAUUUUAUUUUUGUACUAUGGAUAUUCAUUGAAUUUAAUUUAUAUAUUAUUUUGAGAAUAUCAAAAGUGACAACAAUCACUACUCAAAAUUAAACUAUUUUUAAAUUUAAAAAACAAAAAUGCACUUUUAUU